rnacentral:lncRNA from 1 species
GAAACCCUAAAAUCGCAAGGCCGCUUCCCCCGUUCAAGAUGGAGCGGUGGAGAUACACGAGCCAGAAGGAUGAAGCUUUGCAGAUCUGAGUUUUUAGCUACAUUCAAGAACGGUACAAACAACAUUCUUGCGUCAAUCAGAAGGAUGAAGCUUCGGUGUAGUUGAAAUCAGAUGAAGAUGGCAAGCAAAACUUUGCAGAUCUAAGACUUUUUCUUUCUCUAAUAACUUUGCAGGAAACAAGCAGAGCUAGGGAAGAUGACAAGCCCGGAUCUGAUAGGUUUGCUUUGGUAUAGUUGCAAUCGGUGGAUGAAGAUGGAAAUCAGAUGAAGAUGGAGUGAUGGAGAUGACAAGCAAAACUUUGCAGUUCUG